rnacentral:rRNA from 1 species
UACGAAGGGGGCUAGCGUUGCUCGGAAUUACUGGGCGUAAAGCGCACGUAGGCGGUUUCUUAAGUCGGGGGUGAAAUCCUGGAGCUCAACUCCAGAACUGCCUUCGAUACUGGGAGACUUGAGUUCGGGAGAGGUGAGUGGAACUGCGAGUGUAGAGGUGAAAUUCGUAGAUAUUCGCAAGAACACCAGUGGCGAAGGCGGCUCACUGGCCCGAUACUGACGCUGAGGCGCGAAAGCGUGGGGAGCAAACAGG